rnacentral:rRNA from 1 species
GAGUUUGAUCUUGGCUCAGAUUGAACGCUGGCGGCAUGCCUUACACAUGCAAGUCGAACGGCAGCACGGGAGCUUGCUCCUGGUGGCGAGUGGCGAACGGGUGAGUAAUGCAUCGGAACGUAUCCUGGAGUGGGGGAUAACGUAGCGAAAGUUACGCUAAUACCGCAUAUUCUGUGAGCAGGAAAGCGGGGGACCUUCGGGCCUCGCGCUCUUGGAGCGGCCGAUGUCGGAUUAGCUAGUUGGUGAGGUAAAGGCUCACCAAGGCGACGAUCCGUAGCAGGUCUGAGAGGAUGAUCUGCCACACUGGAACUGAGACACGGUCCAGACUCCUACGGGAGGCAGCAGUGGGGAAUUUUGGACAAUGGGGGCAACCC